UAGGGAAUCUUCGGCAAUGGGGGCAACCCUGACCGAGCAACGCCGCGUGAGUGAAGAAGGUUUUCGGAUCGUAAAGCUCUGUUGUAAGAGAAGAACGAGUGUGAGAGUGGAAAGUUCACACUGUGACGGUAACUUACCAGAAAGGGACGGCUAACUACGUGCCAGCAGCCGCGGUAAUACGUAGGUCCCGAGCGUUAUCCGGAUUUAUUGGGCGUAAAGCGAGCGCAGGCGGUUAGAUAAGUCUGAAGUUAAAGGCUGUGGCUUAACCAUAGUACGCUUUGGAAACUGUUUAACUUGAGUGCAGAAGGGGAGAGUGGAAUUCCAUGUGUAGCGGUGAAAUGCGUAGAUAUAUGGAGGAACACCGGUGGCGAAAGCGGCUCUCUGGUCUGUAACUGACGCUGAGGCUCGAAAGCGUGGGGAGCGAACAGGAUUAGAUACCCUGGUAGUCCACGCCGUAAACGAUGAGUGCUAGGUGUUAGGUCCUUUCCGGGACUUAGUGCCGCAGCUAACGCAUUAAGCACUCCGCCUGGGGAGUACGACCGCAAGGUUG
rnacentral:rRNA from 1 species